rnacentral:rRNA from 1 species
GCAGCAGCCACGGGAAUACGAGGGGGGCAAGCGUUGUUCGGAAUUAUUGGGCGUAAAGGGUGCGUAGGCGGUUCGGUAAGUCUUGUGUGAAAUCUUCAGGCUUAACUUGAAGUCUGCACGAGAAACUGCCGGGCUUGAGUGUGGGAGAGGUGAGUGGAAUUUCCGGUGUAGCGGUGAAAUGCGUAGAUAUCGGAAGGAACACCUGUGGCGAAAGCGGCUCACUGGACCAUAACUGACGCUGAUGCACGAAAGCUAGGGGAGCAAACAGGAUUAGAUACCCGUGUAGUCCCUGUCUCUUAUAC